rnacentral:rRNA from 1 species
UACGUAGGGGGCUAGCGUUGUCCGGAUUUAUUGGGCGUAAAGAGCGUGUAGGCGGCCAGGUAGGUCUGGUGUGAAAACUCGAGGCUUAACCUCGAGAUGUCAUCGGAAACCAUCUGGCUAGAGUCCGGAAGAGGAGAGUGGAAUUCCCGGUGUAGCGGUGAAAUGCGCAGAUAUCGGGAGGAACACCUAUGGCGAAGGCAGCUCGCUGGGACGUUACUGACGCUGAGACGCGAGAGCGUGGGGAGCAAACAGG